UACAGAGGUCUCAAGCGUUGUUCGGAUUCAUUGGGCGUAAAGGGUGCGUAGGCGGCGCGGUAAGUCGGGUGUGAAAUCUCGGAGCUUAACUCCGAAACUGCAUUCGAUACUGCCGUGCUUGAGGACUGGAGAGGAGACUGGAAUUUACGGUGUAGCGGUGAAAUGCGUAGAUAUCGUAAGGAAGACCAGUGGCGAAGGCGGGUCUCUGGACAGUUCCUGACGCUGAGGCAACGAAGGCCAGGGGAGCAAACGGG
rnacentral:rRNA from 1 species